UGCGCGAACCCCAGACCUCCCAGGGUCCCCGACCUAGCUUCGCCAUGGCCGCCUUCGGGCGAGGCUGGCCGCAAGGCGCGGGGGCGCCGGUGCCGGCCCCUGGGCGCUGCUAGGGUGACUUCUCCAGGGCCACCCAGCUAACCUCUGUCCUCCCUGCACCAGCUGAGCCAUCGAGCCCGCGGCCGGCACCGGCCACACCCGCGGCGGGACGUUCCGCCCAGUCGCCGCCGAAGGGAGCGGCGCAGACAAGGCCCCCCAGACCAGCUCUAGGCCGGGCUGUGUGCUCAGGGUUUAUUGGAAUCCCUCAGCGCCUACCUUUCUGUCGGCGCUUUACCUCGCACACAGUACUUGCCUAGUAAAUACUGUUAUUUGAUAAAGUCCUGAAGGGCCGGAACCCGAGCCUGAGCCCUGUGGUCACCUGGUGGCUCCAGAACUGCCUGGCAUCUUGCCUUGUGAGAAAAGGGUUGUUGGCAUGUUUGUGACCGAAAUCAAUAAAGAACCGAUAUUCGGUCUGAGUUCUGUUCUAAAGUUGGCAGAAAGCUAAUAAAUUCCCAGUGUAGGUUGUAUGAGCUUCGGU